UGGGGAAUUUUGCACAAUGGGGGAAACCCUGAUGCAGCGACGCCGCGUGAUUUAGAAGGCCUUCGGGUUGUAAAAAUCUUUUCUAUGGGAAGAAAAUGACAGUACCAUAGGAAUAAGGACCGGCUAAUUACGUGCCAGCAGCCGCGGUAAUACGUAAGGUCCGAGCGUUGAUCGGAAUCAUUGGGCGUAAAGGGUACGUAGGCGGGUAAGCAAGUUAGAAGUGAAAUCCUAUAGCUCAACUAUAGUAAGCUUUUAAAACUGCUCAUCUUGAGGUAUGGAAGGGAAAGUGGAAUUCCUAGUGUAGCGGUGAAAUGCGCAGAUAUUAGGAGGAAUACCGGUGGCGAAGGCGACUUUCUGGCCAUAACCUGACGCUGAGGUACGAAAGCGUGGGUAGCAAACAGG
rnacentral:rRNA from 1 species